rnacentral:rRNA from 1 species
GAUGAACGCUAGCGGUGUGCCUAAUGCAUGCAAGUCGAACGGGAUCCUUUGGAUUCGUCUGAAGGUGAGAGUGGCGAACGGGUGAGUAACACGUAGGUGACCUGCCCCGGAGAGGGGGACAACCACUGGAAACGGUGGCUAAUACCCCAGAUGUUAUUGCGCUUAGAAAGCAAUUACUAAAGUUCCGGCGCUCCGGGAGGGGCCUGCGGCCCAUCAGCUUGUUGGUAAGGUAAUGGCUUACCAAGGCUAAGACGGGUAGGGGGCGUGAGAGCGUGACCCCCCACACUGGUACGUGAGACACGGACCGAGAUACCUCGCGGGUAGGCAGCAGCAAGGAAAGUAAUUGCCCAACUAGGACGGAAAGUACUGA